UACGUAGGGUGCAAGCGUUGUCCGGAAUUAUUGGGCGUAAAGAGCUUGUAGGCGGUUUGUCGCGUCUGCUGUGAAAUUUCGGGGCUCAACCCCCAGCCUGCAGUGGGUACGGGCAGACUAGAGUGCGGUGGGGGAGAUUGGAAUUCCUGGUGUAGCGGUGGAAUGCGCAGAUAUCAGGAGGAACACCGAUGGCGAAGGCGGGUCUCUGGGCCGAAAUUGACGCUGAGGAGCGAAAGCGUGGGGAGCAAACAGG
rnacentral:rRNA from 1 species